UGAACGCUGGCGGUAUGCCUAACACAUGCAAGUCGUACGAGGGUUUUUAACUCUAGUGGCGGACGGGUGAGUAACACGUGAGAAUUUACCUUUAGGAGGGGGAUAACAAUUGGAAACGAUUGCUAAUACCCCAUAUGCUUUUUUAAGUGAAACGGAUUUAUUCGCCUAAAGAAAAGCUCGCGGCUGAUUAGCUAGUUGGUAAGGUAAUGGCUUACCAAGGCGACGAUCAGUAUCUGGUUUGAGAGGACGAUCAGACACACUGGAACUGAGACACGGUCCAGACUCCUACGGGAGGCAGCAGUGGGGAAUUUUCCGCAAUGGGCGAAAGCCUGACGGAGCAAUACCGCGUGAGGGAAGACUGCCUAUGGGUUGUAAAACCUCUUUUUUUCAGGGAGGAAUAAAAUGACGUGUACCUGAAGAAUAAGCAUCAGCUAACUCCGUGCCAGCAGCCGCGGUAAUCUGAUGGCGCGAGG
rnacentral:rRNA from 1 species